rnacentral:rRNA from 1 species
UGAGGAAUAUUGGUCAAUGGGCGGGAGCCUGAACCAGCCAAGCCGCGUGAGGGAAGAAGGUACAGCGUAUCGUAAACCUCUUUUUGUCAGGGAACAAAGGCGGGGACUAGUCCCCGGAUGAGGGUACCUGAAGAAAAAGCAUCGGCUAACUCCGUGCC